rnacentral:lncRNA from 1 species
AUAUACUGAAUGCAUAUAGACAAACUUAUCAAUAAUGUGUUCAUAUAUAUAUUUGUAAAAUAACAAAAGAAAGGAUUAACAUUCCAUUUGUACUGUAUCAUUUACACACCCUUUGGGAAGAAAACAAAUUAACAUCAUUUGCAAAUAAAAUAAAUUGUUGUCUAUAGUUCUGGGCAAAUAAUAAUUAGCUUGUCAACUUGAAUUCUCCAAAAUCUACAUCUUCACUUGUAAACUGAAGUCUUCAAGACCUAUGACAAGUAUGAAAUGAAUUCACUUCAGAAAAACUAUAAUAAUCAACCAGAAAGUUUGAGUAACUAAUUGCGAGACCUACAUUAUUUCAUAAACUAAUUACAAUAUAACAAUACUUUGGUCAUAUAAGAAACUUGCAUUAUGAAAUAAAACACAAAAUAGCCAUCUCGGCAACUAAAACACUGUAAGAGACUCAAAAAGUGCAUUUGUUUUAUCAAUGACAAGGAGAACUACAUCUUAUUAUAUACAAAUAGGUUCCAUAGGCUUAGAGGGAGACAAACAGAUAAUUAUUUACCAUAUUACACCUCAAGUUGUAAGUGCCACGCAACCUAAGAAACAAAGAUUAAGUUCAACAUUAGCAUUAAUGAGAAUCAUCCAAAGUCCAUAAUAUAGCGUUAAUGAGAAUCAGCCCUCAUUAUUUAAUACAUAUAAAGAUAGGAUGCAAAUUAUAAGAUCGAAUAACAUUAUGUUAUAUAAACUACUAACAAACAAAUUGCACUUUUAAAGUACAUCUUCCUUUAGAGAAUAUCUGGCACAUAAAUGUUUAAGAAAAAAAUCAAAAUCAGUGCCUUAUAACUUUUCCCAUUAUCAUAAUCAGAUUUUGGGUUCUGCUAUAAACAAGAAAUUGUGAGGGGUUUAUGUUCUUAUCAGUUCAAUGUAGAAAAUUUCCGGAUCACGUAACACAGAUCAGGGUAAAUCUACUGAUGCAAAAAUAAAAAAUAAACUAUUGACAAUGAUCCUAUACUUGAACCUAAAACUUGUUGUCCUUGCAAUUAGCCUUUAACUUGUGAGAAAAUAUUUAGCAAUUCCUUAAUGAUCAAUGCACACACACAUAGAUAUUUUUUUUGUAAAAGAAACAUAAUUUUUACAAGAAUUUGUGAAAGAAAUUUCUGGACCUGCUGUCUAACUCUCUCAAGUUUCAGCUCAAGUUGUGCUAACUUCAAAUGGCAUUGUUUUCAACUACUGAACUUACUCCUAGAAAGAGAAGGGAAGAGAAUCAAGAAAAGGAAUUUAUCUUCCAUAUAAUUGAAUUUUAAAAAGCAAAAUUUCUUGUACCUUUUUCCGCAUACGGCUUUCACACAGUGAGCUUUGAUAUUGCUGCUAAACACAAAAGUGAGAGAUAAAGAGGAAAUGGCUUUGGGUAUGCACGCCUUGUCGGGAAUACUCUAUUUGUUGAUAAUCCCAUAUCAGAGGGUAUAAAUUGUUCAUAAAAGUAAAAAGAGUACAUAACCAGAUGAGUGUUUGAGAUAUACUACAUGAAACGUUGCAGUGUUACAACAAAAAUAAAAUCAUAUUUGAGAACCUAAGAAAUGUAUCCCAAAUUGUUAUAAAAUUAUAUCAUGAAGAUACAUGCGAACUUCAGAGUGACGUCUGACACGGAGAUGCAGAGAAUAGAAGACUAAAGUUUCAACUAAAUGGUUAUAACAUGAUAUAGAGUGUAAGGUUGAGUUUCAGUCCAAAAGUAAAUUGUACCUGCAUGAGUAGCAAAAACAAACUGAGAACCAGCAACGAAAUCAAUAAAAGUGGAUAAAAGAGAAUAAGGAAAAAUUAAAAAUUGAUUCAGAUUGUUAGAAGAAAGUCUAUCAUUUCAAGAGUGCAACAUCCCUCACAAAUGAACCUCCACCUUCAUCAAUAGAUAACCUUAACAACCGUUGCACCAAGAUCAAAUAUCUUCAUAAAAUCUUAUAGAACUACAAGUACAACACUGAUUCACUUAUUCAAGCAACCUCCUUGUGGAGAAACCAGAAACACAUCUCCUUCAAGGUGUUCAACUUUAAUACCACGUUUCCCUAACAUUUCAAUAUUUUCUUUAAAACAUGUCUUAGAACCAUACAACAACAUAUUUAAAAUUACCAAUUUCAAUCUAUCAUUUUCACAAAGGCUUUGCGCGGAUGAAUCUUUACUUUUUUCUGUAACUUCAAUCCAUCUACUAGAGCACUAGCAGCAAACAGUUUUUUCACCAGUUGAAAUAGCCAUUGUCUAAUAAAUUCACAAGUUUAAUUUCUUUUAGCAAACAUAACUAUCACUCGUAUUUAAAAGAAGCUACAUGAACCUGAUAAUCACCGUAGACUAGCAAGCUCAGUUUAGCACCUCACCUAAUGUCAAUUGGUAACAAAGUACAAUAAUCAUGUUAAUUAAAGCUUCCUUUUAGUACGUAAAGGAGUGUUUAGUAGCAAUAUUUGACAUGGGUAUAAUAAUAUUAAGAAGCUCACUAUAAAAUAAACACCCAAUUUUAGCAAAAAUGUGGAUAACAUGUAUCCAUCAACAAAAUGAAGAGCAACAAUGAAAAUACAUACCAAAAAUCACUCAUUGCCCCCAUAAAUGAAAUGAAUCAAAACCCACAAGCAUUAACAACAAAAUCCAGCAAGUCUAAAAUAGUGAGUGGAAGAAAGGAACUCUAACCGAUGAUUGGAACACUUCAUCUCUUAAGCAAGUCGUAAAGAUAAUCAAAUCUUGCAUUCAAGAAACAAAAUUGUCAGCACACACAUAUACAAGCAUAGCUGAAGCAGAUAAAGAGAAUAGAAUUAUGGGAAUCNAAACUUACGAAUUUCAAGCUAAUACUCCUGGAAGCACCUCGGACCACAAUGAAACAACUCCUUCCCAUCUCACUGCGGAAGCUGAAAUGAAUAACACGUGAGCUCUUCUUCACAAAACGGCUCAGAGAUAUGGCCUCGCCAUAAAAAUAACUUGUUGAAUCACAAUAUGCCAACUCAAUCGCACAGAUCCGACUUCAGUUGGUGAUGGAAAAAAUUAUCCAAAAUAACUUAGCAAAAUUGAAUAAUCUGUAGAAUAGUCGUGAACAGAUUGAUGAUGGAAAUCGUCAUUUUGAACAAUAAAAUCAAGAACAGAUUUAGAUGAAAUACUAGAACUGAUUGUCAAAGUGAUGAGGGUUUGGGGAUUUUGAGAGAAACGUUGAGAGACGGGGAGUAAACCCUAGUUCCUAAAUGACGACUUGGGGAAUGUUUUUAAGUGUUUCUAUUUCUUUAUUUCUUUUUCUAGGUUUCUAUCUCUUUAUAAUUAUAAAAAUAUUAAAAUUUUAGAAGAAAAUUUUGGGCGGCACCUCAAGUCUCGCACUCCCGCUCUG